rnacentral:rRNA from 1 species
CCCUUAGACACUCUAGGCGGCACGCGCGCUACAAUGGGUGGAAGAACGUGUUACUGCCUCCGAAAGGAGGGGUGAAUCACGAAUUCUUGCCCGUGAAUGGGAUAGUUUGUUGCAAUUUUCGGACUUGAACUAGGAAUCCCUUGUAAACAUGCUCAAGAAUAGCGUGUUGAAUACGUCCCUGCCGUUUGUACACACCGCCCGUCGUUUCUUCCGACUGAUACUCAUUGUGAGUUGCAAGGACCCUUUAUUGGGAAAUUGCUGCAAAUGCUUUGUAUUGGAGGAAGAAAAAGUCGGAACA